rnacentral:lncRNA from 1 species
ACGUUUCCUGCGAACCCUAGAACACUGUCUCUCAGACCGUCCACGAUCGCUUGUCUCUGCCGAGCGAUUCCGAGUCCCGACAGGUACUUUGACUCUGCUUCACCCUCUGCUCUUUUGAUCUGAAUGAUUUUCUCAGCCUCUGCUUUUUCGCUCGCUGCCACUCUCAUCCUCGCCGCUGUAACAACAAUUGAAUUCAGGGUUUUGACCAUUUAUUUGUUUAGAUUUUGAUUUAGGGUUUUACGAUUUUGAGGACUUACCGGCGUUGAUUUCGUUCAUGGCACGUUUAACCUGUUGAUCAGGCUCAAUGUCGAUAAUUAGGGUUUGAAGGAUUUCGUAACCAUAAGCAGUCAUGGCUUUGUCUAGCUCUUCUUCCAC